CAAAACCUGCCAUACUGCUUUGCCAAGCUUGUUUUGAGUAUAACAGGUCGUUGCCCUGCAAGACUGUUAUAUACCCAGAUAAUCAUUGACCAAGGCUUUAUCUAUGGAGGCCUCUGACUUAAACACUUCUUAUCAGAGAUGAAAAUACAUAGAAGACAUGGAUUGCCCCUACAGAUGAUUUGUAGAUGGUAAAACUAUCCAGAUAACGAGUUAGUAAGGGAUGCUACAUACACACAACGCAGGUACUAACACACACACGUUGUACAAAUUAAUAACAGACUAAAUGUACUGCACUGACACAAAUGUUUUAGCAUGCUUAUAGAGAAGGGCACUCAAAAUGUACUGCACUGACACAAAUGACCGUAAUAAAGGGAGAGGUCUGUCUGUAAUAAAGGGAGAGGUCUGUCUGUAAGAAAGGGAGAGGUCUGUCUGUAAUAAAGGGAGAGGUCUGUCUGUAUUAAAGGGAGAGGUCUGUCUGUAAUAAAGGGAGAGGUCUGUCUGUAAUAAAGGGAGAGGUCUGUCUGUAAUAAAGGGAGAGGUCUGUCUGUAAUAAAGGGAGAGGUCUGUCUGUAAUAAAGGGAGAGGUCUGUCUGUAAUAAAGGGAGAGGUCUGUCUGUAAUAAAGGGAGAGGUUUGUCCGUAAUAGAGGGAGAGGUCUGUCUGUAAUAAAGGGAGAGGUCUGUCUGUAAUAAAGGGAGAGGUCUGUCUGUAAUAAAGGGAGAGGUUUGUCCGUAAUAGAGGGAGAGGUCUGUCUGUAAUAAAGGGAGAGGUCUGUCUGUAAUAAAGGGAGAGGUCUGUCUGUAAUAAAGGGAGAGGUUUGUCCGUAAUAGAGGGAGAGGUCUGUCUGUAAUAAAGGGAGAGGUCUGUCUGUAAUAAAGGGAGAGGUCUGUCUGUAAUAAAGGGAGAGGUUUGUCCGUAAUAGAGGGAGAGGUCUGUCUGUAAUAAAGGGAGAGGUCUGUCUGUAAUAAAGGGAGAGGUUUGUCCGUAAUAGAGGGAGAGGUCUGUCUGUAAUAAAGGGAGAGGUUUGUCCGUAAUAGAGGGAGAGGUCUGUCCGUAAUAAAGAGAUGCUCUGCUUUUUUGACACCACACUCCACAAAACAAGUCCUGCAGGCCCUAGUUUUAUAUUAUCUUGAUUAUUGUCCAGUCAUGUGGUCAAGUGCUGCAAAGAAAGACCUAGUUAAGCUGCAGCUGGCCCUGAACAGAGUGGUACAUCUUGCUCUUCAUUGUAAUCAGAGGGCUGAUAUAAAUACUAUGCAUGCCAGUCUCUCUUGGCUAAGAGUUGAGGAAAGACUGACUGCAUCACUUACAUACAUAUAUUAUAUACAUUAAUGUGUUGGAAAU